rnacentral:rRNA from 1 species
CCUACGGGGGGCAGCAGUAAGGAAUAUUGGUCAAUGGGGGCAACCCUGAACCAGCCAUGCCGCGUGCAGGAUGACUGCCUACGGGUUGUAAACUGCUUUUAUCUAGGAAUAUGUACUAGAAGAAUAAGGAUCGGCUAACUCCGUGCCAGCAGCCGCGGUAAUACGGAGGAUCCAAGCGUUAUCCGGAUUUAUUGGGUUUAAAGGGUGCGUAGGCGGCACUUUAAGUCAGGGGUGAAAUACGGCAGCUUAACUGUCGCAGUGCCUUUGAUACUGAAGUGCUUGAAUGCGGUUGAAGACGGCGGAAUGAGACAAGUAGCGGUGAAAUGCAUAGAUAUGUCUCAGAACACCAAUUGCGAAGGCAGCUGUCUAACGUUAUUGACGCUGAUGCACGAAAGCGUGGGGAUCGAACAGGAUUAGAUACCCUUGUAGUC